rnacentral:rRNA from 1 species
AGUGAACGCUGGCGGUAGGCCUAACACAUGCAAGUCGAACGGCAGCACAGAGGAGCUUGCUCCUUGGGUGGCGAGUGGCGGACGGGUGAGGAAUACAUCGGAAUCUACUCUGUCGUGGGGGAUAACGUAGGGAAACUUACGCUAAUACCGCAUACGACCUACGGGUGAAAGCAGGGGAUCUUCGGACCUUGCGCGAUUGAAUGAGCCGAUGUCGGAUUAGCUAGUUGGCGGGGUAAAGGCCAACCAAGGCGACGAGCCGUAGCGGGGCUGAGAGGAUGAUCAGCCACACUGGAACUGAGACACGGUCCAGACUCCUACGGGAGGCAGCAGUGGGGAAUAUUGGACAAUGGGCGCAAGCCUGAUCCAGCCAUACCGCGUGGGUGAAGAAGGCCUUCGGGUUGUAAAGCCCUUUUGUUGGGAAAGAAAUCCAUCUGGUUAAUACCCGGGUGGGAUGACGGUACCCAAAGAAUAAGCACCGGCUAACUUCGUGCCAGCCGCCGCCGUAA